rnacentral:rRNA from 1 species
CCUACGGGAGGCAGCAGUGAGGAAUAUUGGUCAAUGGCCGGAAGGCUGAACCAGCCAUGCCGCGUGAAGGUCAGUGCCCUAUGGGCGUUAAACUUCUUUUGUGCGGGAGCAAUAAUGGUCACGUGUGGCCAGACGAGAGUACCGUACGAAUAAGCAUCGGCUAACUCCGUGCCAGCAGCCGCGGUAAUACGGGGGAUGCAAGCGUUAUCCGGAUUUAUUGGGUUUAAAGGGUGCGUAGGCUGUGAGGUAAGUCAGCGGGGAAAUGCCCCCGCUCAACGGGGUGAAGUGCCAUUGAUACUGCCUUGCUGGAAUGCAGAUGCCGUAGGAGGAAGGUGUGGUGUAGCGGUGAAAUGCAUAGAUAUCACACAGAACACCGAUUGCGAAGGCAUCUCACGAAUCCGCGAUUGACGCUGAUGCACGAAAGCGUGGGUAUCAAACAGGAUUAGAUACCCGUGUAGUC